rnacentral:lncRNA from 1 species
AUUGUCCCAGUGCUUCGCAUGUUUUUGGCUCCAUGUUCAAUCCAUUUGCUGAACACAGUGAAAGUAUCCAGUAUGUCUUUCCACCGUACCCUAGAGUUGGCAUCUUGUUUACCAGAGGGGAGCGAUCUCUAAAGUGAAGUCAGGAAGCCAUUCUAGGGAGGACUGACGACCUGCAACCUUGCAAACAACAACAACAAAAACCCUCAGAAACUUGCCUCGAAUUUUUGGGUUGGGCCAAACAGCCUUGAUGGCAACGUUCUGGAAAGCAGCUGAAUUUCACCAGCGCUGCAACUUCUGAACAGAAACAACCAAUGAUCUCAGGAUACAGCAUGGUGUUCUGCAGUAGAGGCGGCUCAAUGUCAUCUUUGCUAAAUGAGCAGAUGGGAGGUGUUGCUGCUGCUAAAGCUGAUGCACCUUACCUGGCCACUGAUGCUGAAGCCAGACUCCUCAUCAGACGGCAGAACUGAGACUGGCAGGGUCUUGCUGCCUGCCAUCACCAAGGGACGGCAAUGUGCUGUGUGGCUCCAAGGAUGCAAAUGUGGGGCGCCUCUGAACGUGUCUGUUGUUGACAUCCUCUUACAAUGUGGACCCA